GACUCUGAGCAGUGAAUCACUUGGCUCAAGCGUCAAUGAAGAAUGCAGCUAGCUGUGAGAACUGAUGUGAAUUGCAGGACACAUUGAUCACUGAAACUUCGAAUGCACUUUGCAGCCCCGAGUUACUCCUGAGACUAUGCCUGUCUGAUGGUUG